rnacentral:rRNA from 1 species
CGAAAGCCUGACGGAGCAACGCCGCGUGAGGGAUGAAGGCCUCUGGGCUGUAAACCUCUUUUCUCAAGGAAGAAGAUCUGACGGUACUUGAGGAAUAAGCCACGGCUAAUUCCGUGCCAGCAGCCGCGGUAAUACGGGAGUGGCAAGCGUUAUCCGGAAUUAUUGGGCGUAAAGCGUCCGCAGGCGGUUCUGUAAGUCUGCCGUUAAAGCGUGGAGCUUAACUCCAUUUCGGCGGUGGAAACUGCAGGACUUGAGUGUGGUAGGGGCAGAGGGAAUUCCCGGUGUAGCGGUGAAAUGCGUAGAUAUCGGGAAGAACACCAGUGGCGAAAGCGCUCUGCCGGGCCAUAACUGACGCUCAUGGACGAAAGCCAGGGGAGCG